rnacentral:rRNA from 1 species
GACGAACGCUGGCGGCGUGCCUAAUACAUGCAAGUAGAACGCUGAAGGAGGAGCUUGCUUCUCCGGAUGAGUUGCGAACGGGUGAGUAACGCGUAGGUAACCUGCCUGGUAGCGGGGGAUAACUAUGGGAAACGAUAGCUAAUACCGCAUAAGAGUAGAUGUCGCAUGACAUUUGCUUAAAAGGUGCAACUAAACCACUACCAGAUGGACCUGCGUUGUAUUAGCUAGUUGGUGAGGUAACGGCUCACCAAGGCAACGAUACAUAGCCGACCUGAGAGGGGGAUCGGCCACACUGGGAAUGGGACCCGGCCCAGAAUCCUACGGGAGGCAGCAGUAGGGAAUCUUCCGCAAUGGACGGAAGUCUGACCGAGCAACGCCGCGUGAGUGAAGGAGGUUUUCGGAUCGGAAAGCUCUGUUGUAAGGGAAGAACGAGUGUGGGAGUGGAAAGUUCACACUGUGACGGUAUCUUACCAGAAAGGGACGGCUAACUACGUG